UAGUCCAGUGAUGACGACUGAUGGCAUAUAAAUUAGGAACAAUGAAUACCAUGUGUCUGAAACCCUGAGGUCUAA
ensembl:snoRNA